rnacentral:lncRNA from 1 species
UCUAUAUUCGAUGCUCUUUUUUUUUAAUAAACUCAGCAAACAGAGCUGAACGAGGAAUAAAACAACAGAAGACAUGCUCAGUGGCGUAGUACAACUGCAUACUGCAGAUCAUUGUAGUCGAGAGACUAGAGAGUCUUCACAACUCAAUUCCCCACGCCUCUCUUUGCUUGACAAAAUUGCUUUGAACGUGUCACGACAUGCAGAUCAGAACUGUAAAUACCAUAUGAUGUCUAAUUCUGAUUUCGUACAAAACCAGAAAUUCAGAACCGCCGUCUCCAGAAAAGGAUUGUGCAUUUCCUUCUUUUUUACUCACUUAGUCCGAAUCUGUACGAAGUCAAAGACUGCAUAUCACGUGCCUUCAUAUUUUGAAAGUUGACUACUGCUGAUGUAAAGUACAUCGGAUGCAAGUGCAAAAAUCUUCUCACCUUCCAAUGGUCCUUGGUCUAAUUGUCUAUUCAGCAGCUGGAAGAAACAGGCACUGGACGGUCAAUAAUGGAGAGUACCAUCGUGGAAAUGCUUGCGUCUUCAUAGCCGCCGUGCAAAUGCAACGCGUUAACAACGAAGGGAACUUCUCGUGAGCUGUUCUUGUAAGUAAGCUGCCUGCCAAUCUCAGCUUAUAUGGUUGAACUGGUCAUUUAACCAUAUAAGCUGAGAUCGUCUGAACAACCCAUCAUCCCAUCAC